rnacentral:rRNA from 1 species
GACGAACGCUGGCGGCGUGCUUAACACAUGCAAGUCGAACGGAAAGGCCCUGCUUUUGUGGGGUGCUCGAGUGUCGAACGGGUGAGUAACACGUGAGUAACCUGCCCUUGACUUUGGGAUAACUUCAGGAAACUGGGGCUAAUACCGGAUAGGAGCUCCUGCUGCAUGGUGGGGGUUGGAAAGUUUCGGCGGUUGGGGAUGGACUCGCGGCUUAUCAGCUUGUUGGUGGGGUAGUGGCUUACCAAGGCUUUGACGGGUAGCCGGCCUGAGAGGGUGACCGGCCACAUUGGGACUGAGAUACGGCCCAGACUCCUACGGGAGGCAGCAGUGGGGAAUAUUGCACAAUGGGCGGAAGCCUGAUGCAGCAACGCCGCGUGCGGGAUGACGGCCUUCGGGUUGUAAACAGCUUUCGCCUGUGACGAAGCGUGAGUGACGGUAAUGGGUAAAGAAGCACCGGCUAACUACGUG